AUAGAACCGAUGACGAAGAGGAGUAAUUCAAGACCUCGUCUGCUUAGAGAGUCGCCCCUUGGCUGAAAGGGUGAUCAGAUGACCUGGAUGAAAGACCCUUCCGAGGUAUUUUCCUGAACACUGCAGUAGGGAAAAUCGUAAGCAGGCGUUAACUGCACCGAGUGGCUGAAUUUUUUCAGCAACCAGGGUGGUACCACGGGAUCUUCAAGUUCUCGUCCCUUUG
rnacentral:ncRNA from 2 species